AUGUCAGGUCUCUGUGCUCUGCCUGUGCUGACCCAGGCCCCAUCUGCAUCUGCAUCUGCCUCCCUGGGAGCCUUGGCCAAGCUCACCUGCACCCUGAGCAGUGAGCACAGCACCUACACCAUUGCAUGGUUUCAGCAGCACCCAGGGAAGGCCCCUCACUACAUAACGUACAUUAGGAGUGAUGGAAGCCACAGCAAGGGGGACGGGACCCCUGAUCGCUUGUCGGGCUCCAGCUCUGGGGCUGACCGCUACUUGACCAUCUCCAACCUCCAAUCUGAGGACGAGGCUGAGUAUUACCAUCGUGAGGGCCGCACAAUUGAUGGCCAAUGCGGCUCUGGGGCUGACCACUACUUGACCAUCUCCAACCUCCAAUCUGAGGAUGAGGCUGAGUAUUACCGUCGUGAGGGCCUCACAACUGAUGGCCAAGGCGGGUAA